rnacentral:misc_RNA from 1 species
GAGUUGAGUUGAGUUGAGUUUUCUGCCCUGCUAAUAGAAACCUAACGUUGGGAUGUUUGCUAAGCAACUUCUGAAGUUGCAAUAACCAAAAUGCUAUUUUCUAGAUGACUUUUAUCUUCUCUCCAAAUACGUUUCAAGAUAUCUAUCACUGGUUUCUCUUUCAUCUCCAAAUAAUUGGAUUGGUAUUUAUUGCUUAUUUCAAAUGCUUAGUGAAAAGCAUAAAAAGAUAGAAACAUAGUGAUAAUGUCUAUUCUUAUCUUACUGAUUUAUUUGUAAAUAUUUAGAAACCAGAAUGAAGCUGAAAGUGGUGCAUGCAGAUGUGUGAUUUUAUUUUCUUAUGAAGUGUGGAAACAAGAAAUUUUAUAAAAGCAUACCACAUUUCCUCGUACAAUGGAUCCCCUAUCUGUCUUUGAAAUUGUGAAAUGGUGUAUGAAAUCACCGUUAAUUCUUGGAACCUUUGCGACCUUUUGAUUUUUGUCUUGGUAACUGUUGAAAAUGUAUUAGUACCAAAAUAUUUGGAGUUUGCUUCAGUCAUUACAAGUGUUUCUUAAUUAUUGUUGGAUGACAGGAUAUAAUAACUUCUUGUGGGC